CUUCCUCUAUAAAAAUUAUCGACUCACUAACAGAAUAGGAGGAGGAACCCUAGGAACCAUAGACAAAGAGAAGCAACAACCACCACCCCAACUCCCUCUCAACUCCGCCGCCGACCAGCCAAGCAACCACCCAACUCCACCUCCAGCUAAGACCCUAGCAGCGACAAGCCUCACCCCUUUACCCUUCUGCCGCCGUCCCUCACCACCAAAAACUCGUCUGAACAAAUAUUCAGCCACUGCUCAUCUUCUUCUUCCUCGCAAAAAACCCUAUUUCCCAACACAAAAUCAGUCGUUGAUAUCAGUCUACACAUUUUUUCCGGCUAGUUAGUGGAUAAAAUUCCAGAUCAUAAAAAAAGUCCUAAAAACGCCGUCAGUAUUCAACCGAACUCCGGCGAAGAACAAUGGAGAAAAGCUGGAAAUAUUGAAAAAAAAUGCUUAAAUAUGGCUUCGGAUUCAUCGAGCGUUCCCUUGUUUUCAAGAAAUGAUCUCAUCACUCCUUUCUUACGAUAACGCUGCUAGGGAUUUGUAUAUGCACUUAUGUGAAGAUGCAUUUUCCUACACUUCUUGAACAGAGAACUGGGUUUCGAGGUUUCCUUUAGAAGGCUGCUAGAAUAGUUGAUUGAGGUCAUCUCGUGCUCGAGCCUUUUCAGUCCCGGCUUUUGUUCGUAUCACUGUGGUUAUAAUUAAAAUCACUUCCCGAGGGUUAGUGAGGUAAAAAGGGGUGUAACAUCUCUGGUGACUCUGCUGGGGAGUUGCAGGUAUGAAUCAGUGUACCAGAGCUCGAGCAUGACAAAUACCCCAAGACUACUGCAUUUAGGAGCUGCAUAUAGAUACUUUUAUGUUUUGGGUGUGUCAUUCAUGUUGUCUUUUACUUUUUAGUCCUAUACAGUUGAAUUGAGUCCUUUAGUUGAUGUCAGAAUUUUUCAUAGUAUAGUUGAGUUUGUCGAGUCUCUCAUUAUCAUACUUCCUAUGAUGUAUUCAAAAAAAUGUUAUAAAUGAAAAUCCAAAAAGAUUUUUGUUCCUUAGUU